GUCAAGAUGUGAUGACAAGUUGACAACAUUGCACUCGCCAGGGAGCAGCGACGCUGAAAAUCCACUUUUUGGGGAACGCUGCAACACACGGCUGCUGAGACGUGGCCAUUAGUUGAUGUGUCUUGAGGGAAGGUGGUGGAUGGAAAGCGUGUCAACAGUUGCUGGUAAGAGGAAUCAAGGUCAGGCAAUGACACACCGCGCGGUGCCCUAGGGCCGCCACACUCCUUCAUCCUCAAACUUUGUUGACGGGGGACGAACACUGCAAACCCACGGACGCACGGCUCCGCCAGCGAACACAAACUCGCAGGCGCGUCCUCAAAACACACACAUAAGCAGCUUGGUGCUGACGUGCACCAACACAUGUAAGGGAUCAUGUCACACUUUGGCACACACUCCCAGUCGCCCGGACACACAAAACACACACACAAGCUGAGCAAAGAGGCCAGAUGGGAUCCCAGCGUGGGCCGUUGGCCUUUCACGCACUCUGGAGACUGGAUUUCUCGCUGUUCCUUCUCCUUCACCAACCUCUUCUCUCCUUGUUUUAAAAACUCCAAAUGUACUCGUUAUUUUGACUUUUUGUCGUCCUUGUGGCAAAUUGUGCAAACAACGCGCAACAAAGGGUGGAUGGAGCCGUGAAGGAGGGAAAUGCUUAGAUCGUCAUCCCCUUUGUUUUCUGUGCUGUAAAUAUUGAUUGCAGGUUAAAGGCAAUUAGAAUAAUGGAACCAAAUAAAAAAAUGCAGCUCUGUCGGUUCCUGGCUUUGCUGCAGCGUGAUUUAAGGAGAUGCAUUUUCUGAUGGAAAUAAGCUCUUAAUACAUCUCACAGAGGACAAUGUGCAGUGUACGCCAAUCGGCAUCUGAGCGAGUGGAAUGGCUUAAAAGGAAAACGUAGAAAGCAUUAGGAGAGGAAAUAAAGGAAUGUACUGUCUGGAAAACAUUAAAGAU